UAUUUCCUUCUUUGUUCUGAUUUUGGGCUGGAAGAGUCGAGAGAAAACAGAGAAAACAGAGAGAGAGAAAGGGAUGAGUGGCAAGAGAGAGAGAGAGAGAGAGGCUGUGAGCUGGGGACAAAGCAAUGGAAAUCGGAAGAAGAUGGGGUACAACAGAGGAAUCGAGGACUCUGAAGGUUCAACCCAGUGAGCUAUCUUUCUGGGAGUUGUUGAUAAUCUUCUAGCUGCGCGGAAGAAACACUUUUUGAUAUCGGGGAUCAGCUCGGAGAACUAGGUAGGGACAGUAGUUAUUUGAUAGAUAUCCUUUUUGGUAUAGAAUGAAUUUGAAAAUGUUACGAUCUGAAAUUUUGUUUAGUUGUAUUACUGAUAUGUGUGCGAAAAAGAAAAUUUCUCUCUUUUGUGAUGUAUAUACAUAUUAGAGCUUACCAGGUUGGUUUUAUA